CAAAAUUGUAGUUUGAUAUAAACAAAAUAUAGGUUGUAUAGGGUUGUAUUAGUUUGUUUAGAAAAAUAUAAUCCUGCUCUCUGUCUAAUCACCUCUGCUUUAUGUACCAGGGAAAAAGGCGAAAUGGUUCCGCAAAGAUCAACAUGUUCAACAGAAUUGCCGUAGUGUGGCUCAGAAUACGUAUGCUGUUGCCCAGCAGCUGCAGUAAAAGUUGAGUUACAGAUCGACUGGUCGAAACAAUUAGUUCGUCGGUACCGGAAACAACCUGUUUCAUAGCGUUGACCAGGCGGUGACUAUGUCGCACAAAAUCCCCCAAACGAUGAUGGAGCAAAAAUUGAUUAGAAGACCGGAAUAGUUCUGACCUUGUGGCAAAAAAUGGACAAUCACUGCUCUUCUGAGUUCAUGUAAUAUGGCGUGCAUAUGGCAGAAAAACAAAACAAGUAGUUCAACGUCCCCGUUGAGUAGUCGAUGCCGAUAGUUUUGAAUAAAUUUUAUAAAAG